UACAGAGGUCUCAAGCGUUGUUCGGAUUCAUUGGGCGUAAAGGGUGUGUAGGUGGCUCGUUAAGUCGGGUGUGAAAUUUCGGAGCUUAACUCCGAAACUGCAUUCGAUACUGGCGUGCUUGAGGACUGGAGAGGAGACUGGAAUUCAUGGUGUAGCAGUGAAAUGCGUAGAGAUCAUGAGGAAGACCAGUGGCGAAGGCGGGUCUCUGGACAGUUCCUGACACUGAGACACGAAGGCCAGGGGAGCAAACGGG
rnacentral:rRNA from 1 species